rnacentral:lncRNA from 1 species
AAAUUUCACUGUGACCAGAGUCUGAAAAGUUAUCCACUGUGCCACUGGGAGCCAAAGCGUAACCUUUCCUUGGAGAACUCUGUGGUGAGGUGGGAGGAGAAGACAGAUGUGAAGAUGCGCUUGAUACUGUGUCUUCAGAUUGUUUCUUGUGGCGGUCCAGACUUCCUUCUUCAGAUAAUGAAAGAAUUUUCUUUAAAGCUUGUGGGGAGUUAAUGCCAAAUGGUGGGAGGUCUUUGACGGGCACUUUCUUGCGAGAGGGAUAAAGAGAUACAGCAGGGACCUGCAGUGCUUGGUUUACUUUAUAUUGCUGCUGCUGCUGCACUUUCUGCUGAAUUCCUGCCCGGGGAGCCACCGGUGAUGUUUCAGAUUUUCCAGAUCGCUUGUCUCCUGUAUUCUUUGGCAAUGUGUUGGUGGCUGGCUCACACUGUAGAGACAGAGUCUGGAGGCUUUCUUCAUCCAUUUCCAGAUCCAAGUUUGAGAGAUACUGCUUUACUUUCCG